rnacentral:lncRNA from 10 species
GGACCAGAACUUUUUACUCCUGUAUCCACCAGUAUUGGAUGUGAGAUGCUUCAGUAAAAGAUGAAAAGAUGAAGGACUUCCAGGAAGGCAGUUCUAUUAGGCAGCAGCACUCCAACAGUUUAUAUAAUAAGCAGCUUAGGAAAUGGGUAGUGAAGCACAGUGUCCACUUCAGUUAAUCCAUGCUGCUCGAAUCCAUGUGUACAUAUAUGUUGGGAGCAGCUUCUCCAUGAUUCUAGUAUGUGUGUAUUUUUUUCUUUCUCUAGUGGAGACUUAUUAAAUGAAGAAACCACACAGCUUCCAACUCUGCAGUAGAUCUUGGGCUGUAACUGAUAUUCAACAUUACCAUCCUUGUUGUAAACUGAAUGUCAUAUCCCUCAAAAUUCAUAUGUUGAACCCCUAACUUCCCCUGUGAUGGCAUUUAGAGGACGAGCCUUUGGGGCAUAGUUAAGUUUAGAUAAGAUCAUAGAGGUGGGGGCCCCAUGGUGGAAUUGCUCUCCUUAUAAGAAGUGAAAGACCAAAGCUCUCACUCUCUCCCCACCAUGGGAGGACACAGCAAGAAGGCAGCUAUCUGAUAACCAGGAAGAGGGCCCUCACUAGGAACUGACUGCCAGCACCUCAACCUUGAUCUUUCCAUCCUCCAGAACUGUGAGAAAUAAAGUUUUGUUGUCUAACCCACCCACAGUAUUUUUUACAGAGGCCUGAGCUAAGAUACUUCUUAGUUACGCAUUUUCACCCUCUUCGCCCUUAAACAGCACCUCUGCUGGUCAGGUGGCCUAACUUUGGAAGACUCAGACCUUCAUCUGUGACAGUUCUAUAGUCACAGUCGCUAUGCCUUCUCAGGUCCUGGCUGCUGUAUUAUUACAUUGAUUCUCAAAGUUGUACAAGAGAAUAUCAAAAGACACCAAAGUGGAUUAAGAUUAGUUACUGUUAAAAAUAUUCCUCCUGCUUUACGUUCUACAAGAGCUCUACCUUUUUCCGAAGUUCAGAUCAAUUAUCCCUAUCAGGAUAGUGACUUCUCUUCAAGUCACUUGGGAAAAGUCCCCUGAAGUACACUGGAAGAAGCCAUAACUUAAGUUCAUUGAAAUUUUUGCAGUGUCCCAGAGUCGAUGUAUUCUACCUUUGUCGACCAGAACUUCUCCAUCAUACAGUCCAAACUUGUGGGUCUGGAAAGCACAAACUCUGUAAAUGAGAAACUGGUGAUGAUGUUAAGUAAGUUAUUUAUAUUUUAAGUCCCUGAUUUUAGACUCAUGUAUUUUACCUACUCGGAAAAAAUCAUAUUAUGGUUGUUGAUUUAGAAUACACAUCCUAAAAAGUGACAUCCCAUCUUUGUAUGGUCUCAUGUCUGAGCUAGGCAUCCCACUGAAAUCUUUAACUUAACAUGCCAUUGUUCCACUACGCACCACCCAGCAGCUAAUUGGUCUCCACGCAGAAUGGUGCUAUUAGGGGGACUCAGUGAUUGUCUUGUAUGUAUGGACAUCAUGCAGUAACAGGAGAUAAAUUUGUGUUGGAGACAGGGAACCCAUGCUACUGAAUUUAUGCAUAGUCUUCCUUACAUCACCAUGGUUACCAUGUCUACAUGCACCUCAUGCUCACACUUGGGUUGCGUGAUGGUUAAUAUUGAGUGUCAACUUGAUUGGAUUGAAGGAUGCAAAGCAUCGUUCCUAGGUGUGUCUGUGAGGGUAUUGCCAAAGGAGAUUAACAUUUGAGUCCGUGGACUGAGAAAGCCAGAUCCACAAUCAAUCCGGGUGGGGACAAUCUAAUCAGCUGCCAGCAUGGCCAGAAUAAAAGCAGACAGAAACACGUGGAAAGACCAGACUGGCUAAGCCUUCUGGCCUCCAUCUUUCUUCCAUGCUGGAUGCUUUCUGCCCUUGAACAUCAGACUCCAAGUUCUUCAGCUUUUGGAUUCUUGGACUCACACCAGUGAUUUGCCAGGGGCUCUUGGGCCUUCCACCACAGACUGAAGGCUGCACUAUCAGCUUCCCUACUUUUGAGGUUUUGGGACUCGGACUGGCUUCCUGGCUCCUCAGCUUGAAGACAACCAAUGGUGGGACUUCACCUUGUGAUCCUGUGAGUCAUUUCUCCUAAUAAAUUCCCCUUCAUAUAGACACUAUCCUAUUAGUUCUGUCCAUCUAGAGAACCCCGACAAACAUGGGUUGCUAUCAACUGGACAAAUCAUUGCCAACUAAGUUUUUUAGUGCUUCAGCACUUCUACCAUAGUUAGUGUGCACUAAUGAAUGCAAACAUUUGUAUUACCUAAUACAUGGUCUGGUACAGCAUCCUCAGAUGUGAACUAUGCUGCCUCCUGUAUCCAAAAAGGACUACCAAAUGUUGUACUUCCAUCUUAUUGCAGUGCAGUAAGAAAUAUUUUGUCCUUUAUUUUGUAGAUGUCCCAUCAUGCCCUCAACCACAAAACACCUAAAUUUUACGGUUAUAAUCGCUGUCAGUGGUUGUACGUUGAUAUUCUAUUGUUCCAGCACCAUUCUUUUCCUAUUAAAUUACACUGGCAAAUUUGAUUAAAAAAAACAACUGACUAUAUAUGCUUGUAAACAUUUCCAGAUUAUGUUAUUCUUUUAAUCUAAAUAUGUGUCCUUAUGCCAAUACCCCACUCCAUCUAUUACUGCAGUGUAUGAUAAGUCUUGAAAUCUAGUAGUGUAAGUUCUUCAACGUUGCCCUUAAUUUUUAAAAUCACUCUUGCUAUUUAAAAUUGUUUGUAUUACAUGGAAAUUUUAUAAUCAGCUUGCCAAUUUCUACAAAAGUCCUGCUGAGAUUUUAAUUGGUAUUUUGCUUGUUCUGCAGCUUAAUGCAAGAAAAUUAUCUUAACAAUAUUGAAUUUUUCAAUCUAUUAACAUGUUAUAUAUUACUGUUUACUUAGGAUUUUUUCACUUUUCCUGCCUUGUUUUGAACUGAUAUUGUGGUUUUAAGUAAUUUUUUUUAUUUCUACUAUUGGCUUAGUAACUAUGCCCCACUUUUUGAUUUUGUAGCACAGUUGACCAUUGAACAACACAAGUUUGAAUUGUGCAUGUCCAAUUGUCUAUGGAUAUUUUUCAAUAAAAGUUACACUGAGUGCAUCAGCCUCUCUCCUUCUUCUCCUUCUACCUCCUCCAACUGUUCCACCUCUGCCACCCCAAAACAGCAAGAACAACCCCUCCCUUCCUCCUCCUCCUCCUCAGCCUACUCAAGGUGAAGCUGAUAAGGUAAG